CCCCACCCACACCUCGCCUCGGCCCCCUAAGCUCCGCCCACUCCCCGCCCCUGAGGUCCGCCUGGGGCCUCGCCCUGCGAUCUAGGACUGGGGAGGACCGUGCUGGUUUCCUGGGAGGUGGAAACUGGAUUGACAGAAAUCCAGCGCGGGGAGGCUGUGCCGAGAGGAGGGACGCCCCUGCCCUGCGUCUCCCGCUCCCCAUCCCUGGCAGGUAUCCCGGUUACAGAAUGAGGGUCCGAGGUGCAACAGAAAGAAUGAGCCACUGAUACACUCAUCAGCUUGCUCGGAUCUCCCGGGGAGUUACGCUGGUGAGAGAAACCAGUUCCAAAGGUCACUCACCGACGGCGCCGCUGGUGUACUGGUAUUAUGCAAGAUGCCCCCGCAAAGGUCACGCACGGAUGGUUCAUUUAUCCAAAGAACAGAGGAGAGAAAUGCAGGACUCAUUAGCAGUGCCCAGGAGAUAGGGAGGCGGGUGGGUGUGGCUAUAAAAACGCCACCCAGGGGGUGCCUGUGAAGGAAAUCUGCGUCCCGCGGAAAGCAACACGGGGUUGGGAUACCGGACUGUCCUUUGUGAGAUGCCACCAACGGGGGAAACUGGAUGGCUCCACAGAAAAAGUUCGUUUAAAGGAAAAUGGUUUAAGGCCAAGGAAAUACCUAGAAAACGGAAAGUCUUGAAACCAGAGCCGGUGGGGAGUUAUGGGGGGCGGUGCUGGUGAACAGUUUGGGCCGACUGUCUCUUUUUCCAGGGCUUGCUGGCUUCUGCCACCUCAUUUGGCAGUCACCUGCCACUGUGACCUCCCCAAGUCCCUUCUCCAAACUCUAUAUCUUGAUUUCUGGUGUCCCGGGAUGGCCCCACUCCAACAAUAGAGCAGAAGGAAGGAAGGUUUCCCCUGUGUUUAGAACGUUCCUAACGAAAAUAACUGCAACUCUUGAUUGCACCUCCUGAGGGUCGUUGGGACUUUCCCUCUCAGAUACUUACUGGUUCAUUCAUUCGUUCAUUUUGCUUUAACUCACAGUGGCCCUCCCCAUCCUAAGGUAUACUGCUGGGAUUGUUCUAUGUGCUGAUGAUGUUCUCCUUGUCUUCAGAGGGUCUCAUUCUGUUGCCCAGUCUGGAGAGCAGCGGCGCUAUAUCUCAGCUCACUGCAACCUCCGCGUCCCGGGUUGAAGCGAUUCUGGUGCCUCAGCUUCCUGAGUAGCUGGGGCUACAGGAAAGAGAAUGCCUGUGUUUUGAAGUUCCUUCUUAGGACGAAACCAGCUGAAGCUGGCGAAAUCCAAGAUGGCACCUCUGAAAAACCUCUGGCGUCAUUAUCAUCCUCUUCUCAUGCUAAGCAACACUCCCACCAGCGCCAUGACGAUUGACGGUCGCCAUGACAACGACUGGAAGAGACCAAGAAGGGACAGAAAAAAAGGGGUUCCUUGAUUCCAGGAAAAUCUCUGUUCUUUCCCAAGAAAAGCGUGAAUAUUCCCCCGCUUACCCUUAAUGCCCAGCCCCUUCAUUAAAGACACCCUACGUCUGUAACUUCCCAGCUCUAACAAGCUGAUUUCAGAUCUUCCAAUUCCAUAGCCACUGAAUAAAGCCUGCACUGCUUGACA